AUAUUGCCCAAUGCGCGAAAGCGUGAGGCAGCAACGCCGCGUGCGCGAUGAAGGCCUUCGGGUCGUAAAGCGCUUUUCGGUGGGAGGAGGAAGGACCGUACCACCGGAAUAAGGUACGGCUAACUACGUGCCAGCAGCCGCGGUAAAACGUAGGUACCGAGCGUUAUCCGGAUUUACUGGGCGUAAAGCGCGUUCAGGCGGUCUGGCAAGUCGGGCAUGAAAUCUCUCGGCUCAACCGGGAGGGGUUGUCCGAUACUGCUGGGCUUGAGGGCAGUAGAGGGUGGUGGAAUUCCGGGUGUAGUGGUGAAAUGCGUAGAGAUCCGGAGGAACACCAGUGGCGAAGGCGGCCACCUGGACUGUACCUGACGCUCAAACGCGAAAGCUAGGGGAGCGAACGGG
rnacentral:rRNA from 1 species